rnacentral:lncRNA from 1 species
CUUUGGGCGAAACAGGGGACCGUGUGGUCCCCUCCUUUGGUCGGUCGAUCAGCGGUGCGACCAGCAUGAUGGUGGUCGAUGGUGGAAGGGCGACGAUGGGGUGGCUCGAAAGAAGUGAAUCCGACGGUCGACGGUGACCAUUGACGUCGGAAAACCUAGAAGAACAACAAAAAAAUAGGGAUUUCUUCUGCAACAAAAUCUGAUGAAUCUGGUUGCUGACGAUCAUGCACACAGGCAAGGA